rnacentral:rRNA from 1 species
GGUAGCUGGUCUGAGAGGACGACCAGCCACACUGGAACUGAGACACGGUCCAGACACCUACGGGUGGCAGCAGUCGAGAAUUUUUCACAAUGGGCGAAAGCCUGAUGGAGCGACGCCGCGUGGGGGAUGAAUGGCUUCGGCCCGUAAACCCCUGUCAUUCGCGAUCAAACUCUGCAAUCCAAUAAGUUGCAGACUGAUAGUAGCGAAAGAGGAAGGGACGGCUAACUCUGUGCCAGCAGCCGCGGUAAUACAGAGGUCCCAAGCGUUGUUCGGAUUCACUGGGCGUAAAGGGUGCGUAGGCGGUCGGAUAAGUCUGACGUGAAAUCCUGGAGCUUAACUCCGGAACUGCGUCGGAAACUAUUUGGCUAGAGGAUUGGAGGGGGGACUGGAAUUCUCGGUGUAGCAGUGAAAUGCGUAGAUAUCGAGAGGAACACCCGUGGCGAAGGCGAGUCCCUGGACAAUUCCUGACGCUGAGGCACGAAAGCUGGGGGAGCAAACAGGAUUAGAUACCCUGGUAGUCCUAGCCCUAAACGCACGACGUUUGCUGUAAGAGGAAUCGACCCCUUUUGUGGCGAAGCUAACGCGUAA